AUCACUUCAGCCACCGAAGAAAGAAAAAAAAAUUGAAAUAAAAAAAAACUCCCUCUUCCUCUCAAAAGUCCGGCCUUUGGGUCAUAUUAGCGCCGCCGUUGCGUCACGCCGGCCACCGUACAUGGUGGCCGAAAAAAUCAAAAAGGUGGAGCAGGUGGCACAGGCGGCGACGUGACCGCGACGGUGGGCAGGUGCGAGGCAGAGCAAGUGGGCGACCCUAGGUGCGGCGCACCUAGGGUUAGGGUUACCCCUUUUUUGUUAUUUUCUGAUUUGGGCUGAUUGAGUCUAUUGGGCUGUUUUGGGCUAGGUGAUUUUUGUUGGGCUUGGGUAAAUUUAGGUUGUAAUUGGGUUUUGCUGGUGUGGGCAAAAUUGGGCUGGUACAUAAUGUAUGUUUUUUUUUAUUUACAAAAUAUUAUUGUAUGUUAUUGUAAUAUUUGAGGAAUUUUUUUUUAGAAUUGUAUCGAUAACCACCAAAGUUAUUGUGAGAAAGAUCAAUAACACUCAAAUGAGUGAAGAAAACUUCAAAGAUA